UGGGGAAUAUUGCACAAUGGGCGCAAGCCUGAUGCAGCCAUGCCGCGUGUAUGAAGAAGGCCUUCGGGUUGUAAAGUACUUUCAGCGAGGAGGAAGGCGUUGUGGUUAAUAACCGCAACGAUUGACGUUACUCGCAGAAGAAGCACCGGCUAACUCCGUGCCAGCAGCCGCGGUAAUACGGAGGGUGCAAGCGUUAAUCGGAAUUACUGGGCGUAAAGCGCACGCAGGCGGUCUGUCAAGUCGGAUGUGAAAUCCCCGGGCUCAACCUGGGAACUGCAUCCGAAACUGGCAGGCUAGAGUCUUGUAGAGGGGGGUAGAAUUCCAGGUGUAGCGGUGAAAUGCGUAGAGAUUUGGAGGAAUACCGGUGGCGAAGGCGGCCCCCUGGACAAAGACUGACGCUCAGGUGCGAAAGCGUGGGGAGCAAACA
rnacentral:rRNA from 1 species